UACGUAGGGGGCAAGCGUUGUCCGGAAUCAUUGGGCGUAAAGCGCGUGUAGGCGGCCCGGUAAGUCCGCUGUGAAAGUCGGGGGCUCAACCCUCGAAUGCCGGUGGAUACUGUCGGGCUAGAGUGCGGGAGAGGCGAGUGGAAUUCCUGGUGUAGCGGUGAAAUGCGCAGAUAUCAGGAGGAACACCAAUUGCGAAGGCAGCUCGCUGGAACGUAACUGACGCUGAGAACGCGAAAGCGUGGGGGAGCAAACAGG
rnacentral:rRNA from 1 species